GCGAUAACACCAGCACUAAUGCACCGGAUCCCAUCAGAACUCCGAUGUUAAGCAUGCUUGGGCGAGGGCAGUACUAGGAUGGGUAACCCCUAGGGAAGUCCUCGUGUUGCAGCUA
rnacentral:rRNA from 1 species